ensembl:lncRNA
AGAGGGAGAAUAGUGAUGCGAUCAUGUAAUGCAGUAGAGAGUGAGUGAGUAUAGUGUAUGUGUGUGUUUAUUUCUAGCAGAGCUGGUGCGUAAAGAGGCAUGGCGGACUCGGUGAAGACGUUCCAGGCGCAUCUGACCGCCGUGAUGGACAGCCUGGUGCGCGCGUCCGUGUGCGAGAUCACCAAGCUGUUCGAGGACACGGUGAACGACUACCUGGUGGAGAUCUCGCUCAACCGGAAGGAGAACGAGGCUUUGAAACUGCGCCUGAGACUCACCGAGAACAAGCUUAAGAACGAGCGGAAGUACGGGCUGGCCUGGGCGGCCAGUCGGCGCGCAGCCGGCCUGCUCGGUCCUGAUGAGACCGGCGCAGCAAAAAAGAGAAAGCUGGAGCCUAGUAAGCACAGGCACAAGUUCAUUACUACUAGAGGCAAGCAGGCCAAGGAGUGGAGCGGUGGCGUGUGGGAGGAGGGGGUUGGAGGAGCGAGGGAUGAGAGGAGGGACAAGAGGAGGGACGAGAGGAGGGACGUGGGCCGCACGCAUCCACCAACCACAGUGGAAGGAGAGGAGCAGGAGGAGGAGAGGAGACACGUCUCUGGGGAGAGAAAGGAGGUGGCCACUGUUAAGGAGGAGGAGGACGUGUACAGGUGCGAGUCAGUGAGGCUGCUGCAGGAGGCGCUUCAGAUGAGCCAGACUGAAAGCAACACAGCACACGGUGAGCACCAGAAGGCCACACGUGGGUAAGAGAAGGCGUAUAGCUGUGUGAUUAGUGUGGGUAAGAGAAGGCG